rnacentral:rRNA from 1 species
UGGGGAAUUUUGGACAAUGGGCGAAAGCCUGAUCCAGCAAUGCCGCGUGUGUGAAGAAGGCCUUCGGGUUGUAAAGCACUUUUGUCCGGAAAGAAAUCCUUGGCUCUAAUACAGUCGGGGGAUGACGGUACCGGAAGAAUAAGCACCGGCUAACUACGUGCCAGCAGCCGCGGUAAUACGUAGGGUGCAAGCGUUAAUCGGAAUUACUGGGCGUAAAGCGUGCGCAGGCGGUUUGCUAAGACCGAUGUGAAAUCCCCGGGCUCAACCUGGGAACUGCAUUGGUGACUGGCAGGCUAGAGUAUGGCAGAGGGGGGUAGAAUUCCACGUGUAGCAGUGAAAUGCGUAGAGAUGUGGAGGAAUACCGAUGGCGAAGGCAGCCCCCUGGGCCAAUACUGACGCUCAUGCACGAAAGCGUGGGGAGCAAAACAGGAUUAGAUACCCUGGUAGUCCACGCCCUAAAACGAUGUCAACUAGUUGUUGGGGAUUCAUUUCCUUAGUAACGUAGCUAACGCGUGAAGUUGACCGCCUGGGGAGUACGGUCGCAAGAUUAAAACUUAAAGGAAUUGACGGGG